AAAAGUAAUUUUAGUACUACCUUAAGAACCAAAAGUUUUAAUUCCUUUAUUUAUGUAGUACUUAAAUUUACUUUAGUUUGCAAAAUUAGAUAUUUUGAUGGUUGUCACACUGUAUAUUUAACUGUCUUAACUGGAUUAGAGAUUCAUCGGCUUAGAAAAUAUUAUAUAAUUAUCGAUAGGGGUAUGUUUGUUUAUGUUCUCAGGAGUACUAAGGUUCACUGCUGCUGCAAAAUUUUAAAAGCUCAGUUAUUUGCUUCUUUAUCAGUCAAAUAGUUUCUGUUUAGUCUUGGUGUUAUGCACUUAAUAACUGAAAAAUUUAAUGCUCGUAGUUGUUAUCUAGGUUGAAAAAAAGUGUUUGAUAAGAAUCUGUAUUUUCUAAAAAUUUAUAGCUUAGUUCUUGCUUUAUUUUAUUUCGUACUUAUACAUUUUAGUAUGUCCAUGGGUUUUCUAGUGGAUGAAAAAUCACCAAUUGUUUGGAGAGGACUUAUGGUGAUGUCUGCAAUUGAAAGACUGUUUCGAAAGUUCUGAAAGAAGUUUUGCUUGUGCAGGUUGCAUGGGGUCCUCUGGAUUAUUUGAUAGUAGAUAUGCCACCUGGUACUGGAGACACUCAACUGUCGAUCUCACAAACAAUACCUGUAUCAGAGAAUACAGUUGAAACCCUGCUUUCGCCGUAUUCAAUUUAAUGGGGAGGGGGAGGGUUAAUUUUUACACUAUUUCAAAAAUAGUGUACAAAUUAACAAACACUGAUUAGUCUGAAUGAUCACACAUGAAAUGAUGUCUGAUGUAUCGCACAAAAAGACUCAUUAGUAUUGUCUCAUAUCCCAAAAGAAGUUACGGAUAAAUUCAUUUAAAAAAAGUUAAUUACAAUUAUUAUUACAUGCAGUAAACUAGAGCCAGAGCACUAAGGCUCGAAGCCUCCCAUACAAGGUUUGAUAGAACUGAGACUCCAGGGCCUAUCCAAGAGGGCACCACCCCUCCAGGCUGCUGUGAAGGGAAUAUAUCCCUAGAUAAAAUUCUUCAGAGAAGAGACCGACGGCAACCAUCACUAAGAAAUCCACAGGGCUGAUCUCAACUCCGACUACUCAAAACAAAGUUACAAUUCCCACGUGAGAGGUCACCGCUCCCUCCCACAGUACUAUUACUCAGACACCAGAACAGCCAGACUUCGUCCAUCCCUCCACACCGACCGAGAGGAGCCAACCACCUCAGACGGCCGUUGAAAUCUGACCAUGUCAAGGUCCGAGACAAGACAGUACCAGUAUGGUCCCUGCCAAGCCAGAACCAACCACCGAAUAAACGAUUUUCCUAAUCUAUGUGAAGACUGAUUAUUUGUUCUGCAGGCCGCUGUCAGACACAAGUUUAGCCAGUGAUCUGGAAAACCCCGGGGUCUCUUCCCAUAAAUGGUCGGUUCCAGUAAUUCCACGCAGUCGGACCACAGGGUUAGUUGCCCAGCACCCUUAGCCUAUGCUAGCCAGCCUAUCUCUAGCCUUUGCCAGUAUAGUUACAAGGGGCUGCCACGAAGAGGACGAUGCCGAACUGUGGGAGACAAGGCGAACCCCAUCCCUCGGCACUCGCACCCUUAGAACAAACACCGGGUCUCCUUCCGCCAGUGGUCAGUUCCGGAUAUUUGUC